AAAUUUACAGGUUAGUAUAAAUCCCUCGUUGUCUGUUAGCGGUAUUCCUCUCCGGCUCCCCGGUAACCCCAAAGCAACUGCAAGCUACUAUUGAGUUCAUCUUCUUCCGCCACCGCCGCCUGGUUGUUUAGGGCUUCGACUAAAUCGGAGUUCCGCCGGUGGACUAUAACCAGAAUCUGGCAACCAUUAGUUUCGCCUGCCAAAGGUUGAACGUUUCGUUGAGGCAAGAAGAUGGUUUCUGGGUUGAUAAAUGCGAAUCCAGUUGUAUACCAAAAGAAAGAGCGGCGGGCUCGAAACACUCCAUGUGAUAGUGACGAAUAUGCAGUGGAACCCAUUGAUCAGUUGGAAAUUUUUUAUCAUAUUAGAGAUAUAAAAGAUCCUGAGCACCCUUACUCUUUGGAAGAGCUUAAAGUAAUAACAGAAGAUGCAAUUGAAGUAGAUGAUAAGCUUAGCUAUGUGAGGGUUACAUUUACUCCAACAGUUGAACAUUGUAGCAUGGCAACAAUUAUUGGUUUGUGCUUAAGAGUUAAGCUUAUGAGGAGCCUACCUUCUCGGUACAAGGUUGACAUAAGAGUAGCUCCUGGAUCGCAUGCUACUGAAGCAGCAGUAAACAAACAACUUAAUGACAAAGAACGAGUUGCAGCAGCACUGGAAAAUCCAAAUCUAGUAGACAUGGUUGAUGAAUGCUUGGCUCCAUCUCAUGGUUGAUUGAGUUGGGAGUGCCAAAUGGAGUUAGAUCAACACUCAUCUGAAAUCCAAUCACAUGGAUUUUUUUUUUUGAUCAAGGAAGAGCAGAAAUGGUCGUGCCCCACAAUCUUUCUUUCCUUCGCAAAAAGAAAGAAAAAAAGAUUUUGUGAGCUUUGCUUCACGGGUGGUUCAGGAACAUGAAUAUACUUCUCCAUUUUAUAAUGCAAAGUACACGCCUACAUCUAUUCUUUUUUGAGUUCAAAAAGAUGUUGAGCAUAAGCCUGACUUGAAUUUUUUUUGUCUAAGAUAUAGAGUAAAAUUUCCAAACAAAGAUAUAGAGUAAAAGAUCGGGUGUGUAUAUCAGUUUAGCUA